AUACGUAGGGUGCGAGCGUUGUCCGGAAUUACUGGGCGUAAAGGGCGUGUAGGCGGGGAGACAAGUCAGAUGUGAAAUACCGAGGCUUAACUUCGGGGCUGCAUCUGAAACUGUUUUUCUUGAGUGUCGGAGAGGAAAGCGGAAUUCCUAGUGUAGCGGUGAAAUGCGUAGAUAUUAGGAGGAACACCAGUGGCGAAGGCGGCUUUCUGGACGACAACUGACGCUGAGGCGCGAAAGCGUGGGGAGCAAACAGGAUUAGAUACCCUGGUAAUCCACGCCGUAAACGAUGGAUACUAGGUGUAGGAGGUAUCGACCCCUUCUGUGCCGGAGUUAACACAAUAAGUAUCCCACCUGGGGAGUACGGCCGCAAGGUUGAAACUCAAAUGAAUUGACGGGG
rnacentral:rRNA from 1 species